ACGGGUGAGUAACGCGUAGACAACCUGCCUCAAAGAUGGGGACAACACCGCGAAAGUGGUGCUAAUACCGAAUGUGGUGCCGGGGAAGCAUUUCCUUGGUAAGAAAGGUGGCCUCUAUAUAUAAGCUACCGCUUUGAGAUGGGUCUGCGUCUGAUUAGCUAGUUGGUGGGGUAACGGCCUACCAAGGCGACGAUCAGUAGCCGGUCUGAGAGGAUGAACGGCCACACUGGGACUGAGACACGGCCCAGACUCCUACGGGAGGUAGCAGUGGGGAAUCUUCCGCAAUGGACGAAAGUCUGACGGAGCAACGCCGCGUGAGUGAAGAAGGUUUUCGGAUUGUAAAGCUCUGUCUUCGGGGACGAACGUGCGAUCGGUGAAUAAUCGGUUGCAGUGACGGUACCCGAGGAGGAAGCCACGGCUAACUACGUGCCAGCAGCCGCGGUAAUACGUAGGUGGCAAGCGUUGUCCGGAAUUAUUGGGCGUAAAGCGCGCGCAGGCGGGACUUUAAGUCUACUUUAAAAGUGCGGAGCUCAACUCCGUGAUGGGGUGGAAACUAAAGUUCUUGAGUGUCGGAGAGGAAAGUGGAAUUCCC
rnacentral:rRNA from 1 species